rnacentral:miRNA from 2 species
AAGGGGAUUGAGGAGAUUGGG